rnacentral:rRNA from 2 species
CGCGUGAGUGAAGAAGGCUUUCGGGUCGUAAAACUCUGUUGUUGGAGAAGAAUGGUCGGCAGAGUAACUGUUGUCGGCGUGACGGUAUCCAACCAGAAAGCCACGGCUAACUACGUGCCAGCAGCCGCGGUAAUACGUAGGUGGCAAGCGUUAUCCGGAUUUAUUGGGCGUAAAGCGAGCGCAGGCGGUUUUUUAAGUCUGAUGUGAAAGCCCUCGGCUUAACCGAGGAAGUGCAUCGGAAACUGGGAAACUUGAGUGCAGAAGAGGACAGUGGAACUCCAUGUGUAGCGGUGAAAUGCGUAGAUAUAUGGAAGAACACCAGUGGCGAAGGCGGCUGUCUGGUCUGUAACUGACGCUGAGGCUCGAAAGCAUGGGUAGCGAACAGGAUUAGAUACCCUGGUAGUCCAUGCCGUAAACGAUGAAUGCUAGGUGUUGGAGGGUUUCCGCCCUUCAGUGCCGCAGCUAACGCAUUAAGCAUUCCGCCUGGGGAGUACGACCGCAAGGUUGAAACUCAAAGGAAUUGACGGGGGCCCGCACAAGCGGUGGAGCAUGUGGUUUAAUUCGAAGCAACGCGAAGAACCUUACCAGGUCUUGACAUCUUUUGAUCACCUGAGAGAUCAGGUUUCCCCUUCGGGGGCAAAAUGACAGGUGGUGCAUGGUUGUCGUCAGCUCGUGUCGUGAGAUGUUGGGUUAA